AUCGUUUUGAGUUUUCUAAGUGUGAUGAUUGGGUUUUCACACGACUGUGUGAGACUUGUCUCCUCAAACUUUGUUAUGAUGUCAGCACAUUAUCCAUCUGACA